rnacentral:rRNA from 1 species
AUGGACGCUGUGCACGGCGUCGAGUCCCUCGCCGGCGGAGAUGGCCGGCAUCAUGUCUCCCGUACCCUCGGGACGGCGCUGCUGAUCUCGGUGGGGUACAUCGAUCUCGGCAAGUGGGUGGCCGCGGUUGAUGCCGGGGCUCGCUUCGGGUACGACCUCGUGCUGCUGGUGCUCUUCUUCAACUUCUCGGCGGUUCUGAAUCAGUAUCUCUCUACUUGCAUCGGCAUGGUCACCGGCAAGAAUCUUGCAGAGAUUUCCAGCCAGGAGUACAGCCAGUUCAUAUGUGUUGGCCUUGGUCUCCAGGCAGGGAUGUCUUUGUUUACUUCCGAACUAACCAUGAUUUUGGGCAUAGCAGUUGGAUACAACCUUGUGUUUGAUGUGGAUGACUUUAUCACGUCCAUUAUUUUUGCAUGUGUUGUAAUUAAUGUAUUGCCAUAUCUUUUAUCCCCCAGGGACAAGAGGAUGGCUGGAACGUUAAAUGCAUGCAUAGCUGGAUUUACGAUUCUUUGUUUUGUGCUUGGUUUAUUAAUCAGCCAACCAGAGAUUCCUCUCCAUGUGAAUGUGAUGUUCCCUAAGUUGAGUGGAGAAAGUGCUUACUCACUGAUGGCACUUAUGGGCGCAAACAUAAUGUCACACAAUUUUUAUGUCCAUUCGUCCAUUGUUCAGGUUCAGAGGGCUCAUGUUCAUACACUGGGUGCCCUGUUUCAUGACCACCUUUUUUCAAUAUUAUUUACUUUUACUGGGGUUUUUCUUGUGAACUAUGUUCUGUUGAGCUCAGCAGCAGCGGAAUCUAGUCACAAUGUGAUCCACACCUUUCACGAUGCUGUCGAGCUAAUGAACGAGAUAUUUACGAGUUCCAUGGCACCACUUGUGUUGUUAGCGGUUCUUCUCUUUUCGAGCCACAUCAUCGCACUGACAUCUGUUAUUGCUAGCCAUGUAGUUACAGAGCAUUUCUUUGGCGCCAACCUGUCUCUGGUUGCGCAUCAUGUGCUACUUAAGCUUCUUUCCAUGAUUCCUGCUAUCUAUUCUGCAAAGGUAGCAGGCUCUGAAGGGGUAUAUCAGUUAAUCAUUCUGUGUCCAGUAAUCCAGGCGUUUACCCUGCCUUCAUCUGUUAUUCCUGUUUUCCGCAUCGCCUCAUCAAGUUGGAUAAUGGGAAACUACAGGGUAUCUCUGCGUGUUGAAAUAUUAGCCUCCCUUGCAUUUUGUCUUACGUUGUUUAUAAAUAUCAUCUUCGCGGCGGAGAUCCUGUUCGGCGACAGCGACUGGACAAACAGCCUGAAAGGGAACACUGAAACCCCUGUGCUAAUUCCACAUACUGUACUAAUCCUAAUGUCUUGUGCAUCUAUUGCUUUUGCACUCUUCCUGGCUGUUACCCCACUUAAGUCAUCAAGUAGGGAAGCCGAAACUCAGGAGUUGUCUGUGCACUCUCAAAGAGAAGCGCCUGACGAAAUUCAAAGGUCCUGA